rnacentral:misc_RNA from 1 species
AAAAAAAAAAAUAAAGAAUAACAAUAAAUGAUAAUACCAAGAAAAGCUAAAAAAAUCAAUGAAACAAGGGUCUCUAGCAACCGUGACGAUGAUCAGUAAUCCCAGUCGCAUUUGGUAGUCUCGAUAGGAGUAGUCACUGUACCAUUUGCGCUUAAAGGAACCUUCAAGUCGCACUCAAUCUUGGGCUUGAAUUUGCCAGUCUUGAUCUUACCCACCUUGAAUCUAAUCCUCAAGUAAAGCUUCACGUCGAUGCUAUAAACCCCAGUAGUCGUUUCUUGAUUAAACUGUGUAAGCCCUUCACCAAGAGGCAUCACUUCUUGGCCUUGGAAUGCGGGGGUGAGAAUGCUUGUGUUCUUGUGUCCCUGGUAAAAUGGAGUCAAGCUAUCGUAACCGAAUCUCUGGUCCCCGUAAAAGGCUCUGGCGUCUAUACUAUCAUAAUAGAUUCCAAUCUUCUUGUUAGGGUUGCGGACUGAGAUGUUCAGGGAUAGGUUAUAAUAGAGAGUGUUAUUGGUGGCGAAGUUGAACUCAGAGAGAGUAGCGUCUGUGACGUGAAACUUGACCUUGUUAGGGCGAACUAUGAGCCAGAAAAUAAAAACAGCGAGGCCGACGACCACCACGAUGGUGAUGAUGAUCUUGAGAAGGCAGCUCAAGAGGCAGCAGCCACAUCCGCAGCCAGAGCUACGGCCAGGGCGGUGGUAGGUGUUUGAGGGUGGGAUUGCUGGGCCAUAAUAUGCUCCGUUCAAUUGGGGUUGUUUUUCUGCCAUGGGAGAUAUAGAGAGAGAGAGAGAGAGA